rnacentral:lncRNA from 1 species
CAAUCUUUAUGUCGAGGUGCCUCAACGAGCGUUUAAGGGAACACCGGUAUAAUGUAGCAGAAAAGCGGGGUGGGUUCCUCGACGCUCACUGCAGGC